rnacentral:rRNA from 1 species
UACAGAGGUCCCAAGCGUUGUUCGGAUUCAUUGGGCGUAAAGGGUGCGUAGGCGGCGCGGUAAGUCGGGUGUGAAAUCUCGGGGCUUAACUCCGAAACUGCAUUCGAUACUGCCGUGCUUGAGGACUGGAGAGGAGACUGGAAUUUACGGUGUAGCGGUGAAAUGCGUAGAUAUCGUAAGGAAGACCAGUGGCGAAGGCGGGUCGUCGUGGACAGUUCCUGACGCUGAGGCACGAAGGCCAGGGGAGCAAACAGG